UUUUAUUUGAGAGUUUGAUCCUGGCUCAGGAUGAACGCUGGCGGCGUGCCUAACACAUGCAAGUUGAGCGAUUUACUUCGGUAAAGAGCGGCGGACGGGUGAGUAACGCGUGGGUAACCUACCCUGUACACACGGAUAACAUACCGAAAGGUAUGCUAAUACGGGAUAAUAUAUUUGAGAGGCAUCUCUUAAAUAUCAAAGGUGAGCCAGUACAGGAUGGACCCGCGUCUGAUUAG
rnacentral:rRNA from 1 species